CGAUCGGCCCUUUUCAGGGCCAACAAAUGUGUACUGAAAACUUAUUU
rfam:Aedes aegypti strain Liverpool supercont1.75 genomic scaffold, whole genome shotgun sequence.